GAAGCGGUAACAGCUCAAAUUUGAAAUCUGGCUCUUGCGGAGUCCGAGUUGUAAUUUGUAGAAGAUGCUUUGGGUUGUGGGUUCGGCCUAAGUUCCUUGGAACAGGACGUCAUAGAGGGUGAGAAUCCCGUAUGUGGCCGAGGCCCGCGCCUAUGUAAAGCUCUUUCAACGAGUCGAGUUGUUUGGGAAUGCAGCUCAAAAUGGGUGGUAAAUUUCAUCUAAAGCUAAAUAUGGGCCAGAGACCGAUAGCGCACAAGUAGAGUGAUCGAAAGAUGAAAAGCACUUUGGAAAGAGAGUUAAACAGUACGUGAAAUUGUUGAAAGGGAAGCGCUUGCAACCAGACUUGGGCGCUGCCGAUCACCUUGAGUUUUCUCGAGUGCACUCGACAGCGCACAGGCCAGCAUCGGUUCGGGUGGCUGGAUAAAGGCCGUAGGAAUGUGGCUCUCUUCGGGGAGUGUUAUAGCCUACGGUGCCAUGCAGCCCAGCCGGACCGAGGACCGCGCCUUCGGGCUAGGAUGCUGGCGUAAUGGUUGUAAGCGACCCGUCUUGAAACACGGACCAAGGAGUCUAACAUCUAUGCGAGUGUUUGGGUGGUAAACCCAUACGCGGAAUGAAAGUGAACGUAGGUGAGAACCCCUUUGGGGCGCAUCAUCGACCGAUCCUGAUGUCUUCGGAUGGAUUUGAGUAAGAGCAUAGCUGUUGGGACCCGAAAGAUGGUGAACUAUGCCUGAAUAGGGUGAAGCCAGAGGAAACUCUGGUGGAGGCUCGCAGCGGUUCUGACGUGCAAAUCGAUCGUCAAAUUUGGGCAUAGGGGCGAAAGACUAAUCGAACCAUCUAGUAGCUGGUUCCUGCGAAAUUC
rnacentral:rRNA from 1 species